CAAGUACUCCCUCCCUUCCGAAUUACUCGUCGUGAAAAUGGAUGUAUCUAAAUAUAUUUUAGUUCUAGAUACAUUUAUUUCUGCGAAGAGUAAUUUGAAACGGAGGAAGUAGUGU
rnacentral:pre_miRNA from 1 species